GAUGAACGCUGGCGGCGUGCCUAACACAUGCAAGUCGAACGGAAAGACGCUGCUUUUGUGCUGGUGUCGAGUGGCGAACGGGUGAGUAACACGUGAGUAAACUGCCCGUGACUUUGGGAUAACUUCCGGAAACUGGGGCUAUAACCCGAUAGAAGCUCCUGCUGCAUGGGGGGGGUUGGGAAGUUCCGGCUGUUGGGGUUGGACUCGGGGCGUAUCAGCUUGUUGGUGGGGUAGGGGGUUACUAAGGCUUUGACGGGUAGCCGGCCUGAGAGGGGGACGGGCGGCACGGGAACUGAGACGGGGCCCAGAGUCCUACGGGAGGCAGCAGUCGGGAAUGGGGGGCAAUGGGCGAAAGCAUGACACAGUGAGGCCGCGCGUGUGACGACGGCCUUCGGUGCGUAAAGACGGCUUUUGGGGUAAGAACCGCUUUGGCCUGAGACGGAGCGGGAGUGACGGUAACGGAUAAAGAAGCACCGGCUAACUACGUG
rnacentral:rRNA from 1 species